AUUGCGUGCUACACUGGUCCAACAAGUAGUGUAUUGGUUUCAUAUCAGCAUAGCUUCCCAAUUCAUAUAUGGAGUUCAGCAUAUCAGGAAAUAACAAAUGUGUCAGAGCCACAAGAGGUUGAUGAAGAUGGUGAGAAGGGAAAGGGAUAGUGUGGGCGCUAUGCGGAAGCGACGACAGCCUACAACCUAAAUGCUUCGAGGCAUCGUGUUCUAUUCGAGUAGCAAGUACAUUGACUUCCACACAUCUAGCCCCUUACCUGGAGGUAUUUGGCACCAACAACGAACACAUCUAGCUUGCUUGUAUAAAAUGAUGCGACUCUACACUAUCAUCCCAUUUAUUUAUGUAGAAUGGAGAUUUCAAUUUUUUUGUUGCCGGAGGAUGAAUCUGGUUGAGCCAGCAAUAGUCUGGAUUUAGUAUGCCUAACUUUGUCUAUCUUAAUCAAUGAAAAUUGUUGUUUUCCCCUAGAAAGCUUUGUGAUCGAUUAAUAAAUUACAUGACUAAAAUAUGUGUUCUUCUGGUU